UACAGGGGGGGCAAGCGUUGUUCGGAAUUACUGGGCGUAAAGGGCUCGUAGGCGGCCAACUAAGUCCGACGUGAAAUCCCAAAGCUUAACUUUGGAACUGCGUCGGAUACUGGAUGGCUUGAAUUCGGGAGAGGGAUGCAGAAUUCCAGGUGUAGCGGUGAAAUGCGUAGAUAUCAGGAGGAACGCCAAUGGCGAAGGCAGCACUCUGGGACGUGACUGACGCUGAGACGCGAAAGCGUGGGGAGCAAACAGG
rnacentral:rRNA from 1 species